UGAUUUUUUGUAGACAUGAUUAAUUGUAAGAAAAUCCUGGUGUCUAAAAAAAUGUUGCACUUUUUAGUGCAUUUUAAUAAAAAUGUUUAAUUUUUUUAAUUUAAUUUUUUUGUAGGUCAAGGAAAAUUAGACAAUUGGAGUCAUAAAUUUUGACUGGUUAGGAGUCUUUACUGAGUUUGGUUUUUGUUUGUAGGGGAGAGGGGUGGCCCCACAUUUGUAGUAGAAUUGAAGUUAGUCACACAAAGAUGAGAUGCUUUUAAGGAAGGACAAUACUCUACCUCAAAGGAUUAUAGAAUUACUUCAAUGGAUUCAUUGCGUGUAUGACCAGCUUUGAACGUUACAUAUGAGUUUGACCAGCCAAACUCAUUUGCAUAGUGCCACACGUCAAUGAAGUUAAAGUAUUCUAUCCCAUGGAAUAAAUAAGUACUAUUGGACAAA